rnacentral:rRNA from 1 species
UGGGCAACCUGCCCCUCUCUCUGGGAUAACCCCCGGGAAACCGGAGCUAAUACCGGAUACUCCGGCUGGAUCGCAUGGUCCGGCCGGGAAAGGUCCGCCGGAGAGGGAUGGGCCCGCGGCCUAUCAGCUUGUUGGUGGGGUCAUGGCUCACCAAGGCGACGACGGGUAGCUGGUCUGAGAGGACGACCAGCCACACUGGAACUGAGAUACGGUCCAGACUCCGUACGGGAGCA